GACAAGUCUUUUGGCACUUCCCUGUAUUAAUGGAAAUUCAAUGAGUAACUACAAACAAAGGCCCCUAUAAUUACUAUGAGUAUAGGAUGAGUUCAAGAAUAAACACGAAAAAGGAAGAGAGAAGAAGCGAGAGAGAACAGAAAUCAAAUCAUGAAAAAUUAAGCUAUGGGUAAUCUAAGACAAAUAUGUUUAGUAGAAAUGUCCAAAACUAAACACACCCUUCCUUUCCUUGUGAAAGAAGGUUUACUCUUGUCCAAAGUGUUCUACUGAAUAGCUAAGCGACAAUGUUCAGGAUAAGGCUAACACCAAGUGAAAAAUUAGAUCUGAAGUAGCUUAUAGAGGCUUAAAUGUUAAAGGGAACAGAGGUACAAGUAAUUCAAUAUUAAUGCACAUAAGAUAUGAUUGAAAAAAAAAAAGAGGAACAAAAU
rnacentral:misc_RNA from 1 species